UCGCGUACCACAUUCCACAUUACAUUUUUCAUUUCUCCUUCUGCUCUUAAAGCUGCGAUUACCGUAUCUUCGAAUGGCUCCCUGUGUUUCGGUAUCAGUCUGGACAAAUCAUCCGCAUGCCCUAGUUUGUUUGACCACAAAUCACUAAAG